rnacentral:RNase_P_RNA from 1 species
AGUGGUGUGCGGGUGGCUUACCAUCUUUGGAUGGAGGAAGCUCUUCCCAUGCAGAGCGCAUGUGGCCCAAGGCCUUGCCCCGGAGCAGAAACGAGACUGCUGUGCCCUACAAGCUAUGAGAAUACGAGCCGGGCAGUGCAGGUGAAACGGCCGGGGAGAUGCGCAGUGAGCAUGCAAGGCAAAACGCCGCUUAGUCGAAUGUCACCUAAAACAGAAGGAGGGCUACGGCACACCACU